rnacentral:rRNA from 1 species
GUGCACCAGGCGCGAAUCUUCGGCAAUGGACGCAAGUCUGACCGAGCGACGCCGCGUGCGGGAUGAAGGCCCUUGGGUUGUAAACCGCUGUCAGAGGGGAUGAAAUGCGAGAGGGCUAUCCCUCUCGUUUGACAGAGCCUCAGAGGAAGCACGGGCUAAGUACGUGCCAGCAGCCGCGGUAACACGUACUGUGCGAACGUUAUUCGGAAUCACUGGGCUUAAAGGGUGCGUAGGCGGUUUAGUAAGUAGGGUGUGAAAUGCCAGAGCUCAACUUUGGCACGGCGCUCUAAACUGCUAAAACUUGAGUGAGAUAGGGGUGUACGGAACUUCCGGUGGAGCGGUGAAAUGCGUUGAUAUCGGAAGGAACACCGGUGGCGAAAAGCGGUACACUGGGGUCUUAACUGACGCUGAGGCACGAAAGCCAGGGUAGCGAACGGGAUUAGAUACCCCUGUAGU